GGGCAACCUUCCCUGCAGAAAAGUCCCAGGAAUUGCCCAGGAUGCCAGACUGAAGAAGGAUCAGCCUGGUAUUGAAGGAGGGCCCAGGAGACUAAAGAAGGAUUGAAGGAGGGCCUGGGGAACUGAAUAAGGAUCAGCCUGGUACUGAAGGAGGGCCCAGGAGACUAAAGGAGGAUCAGCCUGGUAUUGAAGGAGGGCCCGGGGAACUGAAGAAGGAUCAGCCUGGCAUUGAAGGAGGGCCCAGGAGACUAAAGAAGGAUCAGCCUGGCAUCCUGUGCAAUCCCUGGGGCCUUUUCUGCAGGGAAGGUCAUCCUCUAACCCUGGGCCGUUUGCACAUUCCUCACUGACAAUAUUUACCUUUCUCUAGGUAAACAGCAGUUUCUCAAUUUUUCUUCUCCUUCAGACCCAGCCUGGAGCCCCUCAGGGCCUGCAGGGCAGUUCCUAAUUCCUGUACCUCCAGGGUGUAGGCUGCUGCACACAGAACGUAUGAUUUGCUUUGAAUAAACAGGGCCACUCCUCCCUCAGUGAAUGUUUGCUGGAGGAGGGACCCCCUUGGCCUCCCUGGACUCCCCUGGAGUCUUAGCAAAGACAAGAAGUCUGAAGAUGAGAGGAGGGGGCAGGAGGGAGGUCGUCAAGCAGGGAGAAAGUUCUAGAGGGAGCUUCGCCAGUCUCCUGAAGAUGAGAGGUCAUCGAGCAGGGAGAAAGUUCAAGAGGGAGCUUCGCCAGUCUCCUGUGCGGUGGGCGUUUCUAAGCAUUUUGGUUCAAUGGUUUUGGAGAAAGAGAGCUUCUGGUUCAUUUCAAGAUUCAGCCAUUGGACACGUCUUCAACGUCCAGGAUUUUAGAGAUUGGCAGCUUUCUUUCCCCUAAUAGAAUUUCAACUUAAAUCUAUUGCUUUAGUACUUCUUUCAAUUCACUGAUUUAUUCACUGGCUCAAUCAAAUGGAUAUUUUGCAAGUGGUUUAAGUAUUUGGUAAGUGCUUGGAGUCUGAAAUAUGAAUCACACAUGAAACUGACAUUCAGCAGGGGAGAACUGCACUCAUGAAGCUACUGGAGUUGACUUGGGUGGGACAGCAUUGGGGAAACCAAAACUAAUUUCAAGUAAAGCAAAACUUCCCCCAAAUCUUCCAAGAGGUUCUUCAGUAGAUUGAUUUGUCGGUAGAUUGAAUUACUCUACUUCUGAUCCAAAUACAUGUUUCAAAUUUCAUAUACGAAAUAAUACAUUUUCUUCAUUGGAUUGCCCCCUGGAUCUUUUAAAUCCUAGUUUAUAUCCAUCCUGGUAGGCCUGGUGACCCAAUCCUUCUGUUAAGUUCCACAUCAAAUGCCUCCUGCUUUUGGAAGCUUUCCACAGCCGGGCCUGGCGCAGAGGGGGUUCCUCUGCACCUCUUUUCCAAGCAAAUGGCUGAAGGUGAUCUCUCCCUAUUUGUACAGUUCCUUCCAGAGUGCACCUCUUACGUCAUUCCUAGUGGACAAGGCCUAUUCUCCAUCCUCAGAACCCUGAAUAGUGAAAUAAAGCCCAUCAAUGCUUAAACUAGAUGACAGGCUCCUCAAGUGUGUUGGAUUCUGCAUGAAACCCUCCACAUGCACUGUGAUGGCACGACCUGGCAGGCUCCUUUGCCCGGGAGGCCUCAUCUCCAGCAUGGGGGAGAUGGCUUCCGUAGUGCUGAUGGGAUUAAAGGAAAUCUUCACAGAGUUGUACUCUGCAACAAGAGGAAGAGUCAGAAAUGCAACUGCAGAGAGAGGACUCCUGUCUUGUUCUCUCUUUUUGUUGUCCAAGAACCAUGAAAAUAGUCCUCGUAUGAUCACAAAAUCCCAACUCAUCCCCUCUUGGUCCAAACAUAGGGAGAAUCAAAGGCAUGUCACCCUGCCAGGUAGUCAAAGAUGUGGACUCCAGACCUCUAAGACCAGCUUUUAAGAGUUCAAGCCAUUGUUUCUCUCUCCACAGUGGGUCCCCCUUUUAUAAAAACAACAACAACAAAACUCAUCAAGAACAGAUUCCCAACAGGUAUGGUGAUCAUGUGUUCCAGAAACAAUUUAGGUAGAGUAUUCUAUCUCAGUUUCUCUGGAAAUGAGUCCAGCUUUUAGUUUUUGCAUGUGAACCACGGCCGCAGUGCCUAGGCUGCGCAGGUCGCCCUCCGUUCCCGCUGGAGAAGCAGGUGAGGCCUUCCCAGCCUGGGCCCAGUGCAGUCAGGCCCUGCCCAGCCCACAGAUGCCUGCACCUUGCUCCUCCCCUGGCUUCCCUCUCACGUGGCUGCAGCUGGGGCAAAGGCCCAACGACUCCUUCUGUAAGCUUCUUCUUGCUUUUGCACUGUUUACCAUCUCCAGGUGUGAGCUCAUCUCUUUCCCCACCACAGGUGGCCCCACCCGAUCUCAGCUCUGCCUUUCCCGCCUCUCUGCUGGGUUGCAUAAGCCAGCGAUUCCCAACCCCGGCUGCACCUGGAAGCUACCCCAGGAGCUUCUGGAGAAUGUGCCGUGUGAGCCAUCCCCCUGCACUGAGCCCUGGUGGGUCAGCGGUGGGGGCGCCCAGGCGUGGGGGUCUAUUUAAAGCUCCCAGGUGCUGUGCGGCCAAGAUUAAGAGGCACUGCUCCAAACUGUCCUGGCAACUCUGACUGUACCCGGCACUCCCCACGCCCAACCUCCCUUCUGCCCCUGGGCAGGUUGGCAUCCAGUGUCGGGGAGAACCCUGGAGGCGAACGCCAGCCUUAUAGAGCCCCACUGUUGGGAGGCCUGCAGGUUGGACAAGGCGAGGUCUGAGUCACCUUGGUUGGGAGCAGAUGCUGCCCUGUUGGUGGCCUGCCAGCCUCUGUCCCCACCCCACCACUCAGAGACAUGGUGUGCCUGCACUUUCCUGAUCCGGGAGCUCCUGCCUUGCUGCCCAGAUGACCUUUGGCCUAGGAAGAAGUCAAAUCUCAGUGUUUUGGACCGGGCACGGUGACUCACAACUGGAAUCCCAGCACUUUGGAAACCCGAGGCCCAGGCCCUUCCUAAUCUCCAGCUCCACCAGCUUCAAGGCAGAAUCUGAAUCCACACAGAGUCUGAGGUAUCUUGGAAACCCUCUCCUUCCCUCUUGGAUGUGUGGACUGUCAGACAUUGUGAAGAGGAGAAGAGGAAGAGGAAAGACGCUGCCCCCAGUAUGCAGACAGAGAGCACCCCGUUCCAGAGAGGCCAGCGCUCCAGGAGUGACAGCUGCUAAUGCCCUUCUUCCUUCAGUCUCCCUGCCCCAGCUACCCUCUCCCUCCCUCCUCUCCCUCCUUCCCUUUCUUCCCGCAGCAAAACACACGGAGCCCAGUGAUCUGCAGGCACAGUGCCGGGCCCUAGCGCUCCAUGGGCACAAGUGACAGCUGUGGCCGAGGUCGGGGAGGGUGCUGGACUGGAAGCCUUGGGAGGCUCUGAGCACACAGGAUUUGGGGCUGAUACUAUUGAGGGUCAGAGGCUGCUGGACUGGGUUGUAAAGCAUCUGAGGCUUUGAAGACCAUUUGGAUAAUUGGGUGUUGCAGGCUCAGGGUGAGUUUGGGGCUUCCUGGAGACUUUGGGGUGCAGAGUAGCCCCUUCCCAGGCCGGCUCUCUGCCUGCCUUUGGACCUGGGAUGUUUCUGCUGGGAAGCAAGUGGACUGGUGCCUUGGAGAGGAUGCCUGUGGGGAGGGGCUGGACUGCUCACAGGGCCUCCUGAUCCUCGUUUCUCAGUGUCACUGAUGUUCAAUUCUGAAAGUUCUGCCUUUAGAGUUAUCUCAAUAGCCCAAUGUGCCUCCUUCCUGGCAUGGUUGUCCAGGGGCAGACACCCUUCUGGGGUUGGCCUGUUUGGGAGAAGCCUGAGAUCUGCAGAGAAGUCUGCCAGGCGGCCUGGGACUAAAAGCUGCAGAAGGUGGGGCAUGAGGAAGCAGUGGGCAGGCAGAAGGAGUGGGCAGGUGGUCUGCUGCUGCCUCGGGGAUGCAGCUUGAGCUGGACUUUCUGCCUGGCUCCGUCUUGUCACCGAGUUCGCAGCAUAAACGUCAUCCCUCAGAGACGCUGACUCGAUCUCUAAUAAAAGCUAUCAGCCUGUCCCCCUUUACUACGAGACCCCUCUUAGCUCUGCAGAGCAUCCAUCACAGUUAGGCAUUUUUGCCUUUUUUUCCAUCCACCCACGCUUCCCACCCCACCAGGACGUGAGCUUGGACUUCAUCUUGUCAUCCCAGCAGCAAGGAGUCGAUUUUGCAGGAUGGAUGGAAAACACAGAGAGGACCAGCUGUUUCAUUUCUAGGCACCUCACUUCUAACCUGGAACCGGUUCCGAGAGGAAGGACCAGGAAGACCCAUGUGUCGGGAAUGGUGGACAGAAGGAGUGUGCUCAGCUGCCGCCGAGAAGACCACACGCUGGGUGCUGAAAAGAUGGGGGGACCUGCUAGGAACCAUGGCCCUGGGCUAAGUCGGGGAUGAAGGCGGGAGCUGCUGUGCUGGACUGCAGCUCAGCACAGAGACAGUGAGCCUAGAUUGCAGAGCUGCCCAGGGAGGGAUGUCACCUUGGGGGAUGGAGGCUGCAGGUGCUCCUCAGACCUUAGGGAAACAUUUGGGAGGGAGCUUGUUGAGGAGAUACAGGCACCUCAGGGUGGCUGGGCUGGAUGGACUUUGAUGACCCUUCCUUUUUUGAGACCUGAUGGUUCUCUAAUUUGGGAAUCAUUUCCAAAGAUGGGUCUAAAAAUCCUUGUUUCAUUGGAAAUAAUGAGUUUGCUAUGAUGCUUAAGACCAAGCAUGUCACCAUUUGUUAUUACUGCACUUUUCCCUGCCGUUUUCCUUUCCUUUUAUUUUUAAUGGAUGAUGUUAGGUUGCAAUGACAUUUUGUUUCUAUAUAAAUAUUUAAAGGUCUUCAUAAACAUAUAAAUGUCUUCAUACAUUUUUGUUUGCUUCUAGAACAAUGUGUAUCCUACUAUUGUAUUUUUGCUACAGUAUAUGAACGUGGAGGUGUGCAUAAGACAGUAAAACACUAUUCACCAAAAGAUAAAAAAGAGAUAUUUGCAGGAUGUGGAAUUAUGAACAUUUUUUUGUUUUUAUAUGUUUUCUAAUUUUGCUUCAACAAGCACAUACCUGUUUUUACAAAAGAAGAAAAACAGAUGAUGAAUAACAUAGGUGCAUCAUUUAUAUCCACGAUGAGCCAGAGCCAGCUCCUGACUCAUGAGACUGACUUUGUGAGCUCUUCACUGCUGCAGGGAUACAGCUGCAUGAAAUACAAUGAAUCAGCUGUAUCACGUUGGCAACUUGAAACUGGCCCUGGUGGUAGUAUUUACACCACAGCAAUUGGCAAAUGCUACAAAUCAGGUCCUUUUUCCCUUGGAAAGCUGGUUGUUAACCAUGUACCAGUCCACCGCUAUUUAUAUUAUUCAUCAAUCAGUAAAAAAUAUUUAAGCAGUAGAGGGGUAUGGGGUAUGGUUUUCAAAAUCCGUAAAUGACAUGAAAAAUAAUUUGUUUUCGAGUUUUCCAUAACUACAGAGCUUUACAGUUUCUAUUCCUCCCUCACAUACAUGAUCUCAUUUAAUCCUUAGGACAAUGCUAAAAUAUUCUUAUUUUAUAGAUGAAAUACUUAUUUCAGAUUUUAUGACAGGUAAACUCUGGUAGAAUUGGAUUGUUCUAGAUGAACUGGAUGUUCUACUAGAACAUCCACAUUGACUUUGAGAAAUUCGGAAUGCCUCUAAAAGCCACCUAGAACUGGAGUUUUCGUCUUUUCUGAGAGUUUUAAAUGUGUAGGAGAACUUUUUGAAAAUCCUCCAUCAGUAUAAAAUCAUUUCAAUUGUGUUUCAUGAGGCUGCAGUUGUGUAAUUUUGACAUUUCUUUCUCAGUGUCCACCCCUUCUCCGCUCAGCCUAGCACCAUGUGCAUCCCACCCUCGUUCCUUCAAGACCUUUCCUGUGGCCUGAUUGAUUGUGCUAAGGGCCCAGUUUGGUCUGGACAGGAAGACAACAGAAGGGAGUGAGGUCAGAGGGGACCGUUGGAUGGAGGGUUGGAAUGUGAAAAGGGGUCACCAGCAGAUUUCAACACAGGUACUUUUUGCCUGGAGCAUUUAGGACCUGAUGCAUUCCAAAUAAACAAUAGGUUUUUGCUUUUGUUUUUGUUUUUUUGAGACACGGUCUCUCUCUGUUGCCCAUGCUGGAGUGCAGUGGCACAUUCCUAGCUCUCUGCAGCCUCAAACUCCUGGGCUCAAGCAAUCCUCCCACCUAGGGCUCUUGCGUACACAGGACUGCAGGUGCACACCACCAAGCCCAGCUAGUUGUUUCUUUUUUUCUUUCUUUUUUUUUGUUUUUGAGAUGGAGUCUCAUUCUGUCACUCAGGCUAGAGAGCAGUGGCACAGUCUUGGCUCACUGCAACCUCCUCCUCCCGGAUUCAAGUGAUUCUUGUACCUCAGCCUCCUGUGCAGCUGGGAUUACAGGCCGGUUCAUUUUUGUAUUUUUAGUAGAGAUGGGGUUUUGCCAUGUUGGCCAGGCUGGUCUUGAACUCCUGACCUCAGGUGAUCCACCCGCCUCAGCCUCCCAAAGUGCUUGGAUUACAGGUGUGAACCACCGCGCCCGGCCUUGUUUCUUUUUUUUUUUUUUUUUUUUGUAGAGAUAGAGUCUUGCUAUGUUUCCUUUGCUGGUCUUAAACUUCUAGGCUCAAGGGAUCCUCCUGCUUUGGCCUCCCAAAAUGCUGGGAUUAUGGACCUAAGCCACCCUGCCAGGUCCAAAUUUGAUGUCCAAAUGCAAACAAUCCCAGUGACUGAAAAUAAACCAACAAUGUAUUUGGAAAAAUUAGUAUGAUACACAAUUUAGGAUAAAAUGUUUGGGAAGAAAUAAGCAAAAGUUGAGGAUAUGUUGCUGUCAUUUGUGAUGUUGGCAUGAAUAUCAUGGUGGGUCUCAUUUUGAGUCCCUUUAAAAGCCACUUUGUUAUUUUUAUGCUUCUGAUACUUAGAUUCCCAGAGAAAUAGUCAUCUACUGUAUUUUAGAAAGUAGAGUGGAAAUUUAUCUUAAACUACAGAGGAGAAAAAGGUCAAACUUCAGUAUUUUGAGUUAAAUGUACACAUUCAUUCAGUAAAUGUGUUUGGAUAACUGUUGCGAAGGCUCUGAUGAUGUGAUAUGAACAGGACAGAAAUGGUCUCUGUCCAUGCAGAACUUACCGUUCACUGGUGAGGGGGCCGUGGGUUGAAGGGGGUCUCCAAAAGGGUAUGUCCAGGCUCUAACACCCAGUCAUGUGAAUGGGCCCUUAUUUAGAAAUAGGGUCUUUGCAGAUGUAAUUAAGGAUCUCGAGGGGAGAUCAGCUGGAUUUAGGGUGGGCCGGAAAUCCACUGACUGUUGUCCUAAGAGAAGGGGACACAAACACAGAGACCCAGAGACCGCGGUCAUGUGAAGACGGAGGCAGAGACUGCACGGAGGGGUCCUGGCUGCCCUGGAUGAUCAGAGAGAUGUGGAGGGAUUCUCCCUCAGGGCCCUGCCUGUUGCAGGUGGUUAAUCAGGCACCAGCCGGGCAGCAGAGGGCUCCCCUGCCACCCACCAGGAAUGUCAGGGGAUCAUCGGGUGAGAGUUCAGCAGUUAUCCCACCGCCUAUCUAAAAACAAUCAUUGAUCACAGGCUCCAGGGAGAGGUGAUUCCCCAAACAGAUAAAAAGUCUCGAGAUGUGUAAUCGGCUUCCAACAAAGUCUCAGAAAUGGGGCGAGUAGGCUCGGGGAUGGGCAUUAAGAGACAAAACGGAGGAGUACGGCCUUUGAGGGCACUCCACUGGAAAAGGGAAGAAAGUCUCAGGGAGGGACACCCACCACUUCCUAAACUCAGGGCUCGGUGUUGGCCUCCCGGGGCUGAGGAGGGCACCGCGUGUGCAGGCGGCCCACCCUGAGGGAAAAAGCACGGAAGAGGAACGGGACCCCGGAAGGAUGCCAAUGUUUCCAGCCCCAAAUCCAAAGGUCAAAGGCUGCACUCGUCCUUCCAGGGGUCCGCUUGGGUCUCUUCCAGUUGUUCUUCCCUUUGUUUCCUGCUCCAGAGCUUUUUAAUAAACUUCCACCGCUGCUCUGAAAUUUGCCUUGGUCUCUUUUUCUGCCGUAUGCCCCUCUGUUGAAUCCUUUCUUCUGAGGAGGCAAGAAUUGAGGUUUUUGCCGACUUGCCAGUAACUCGGAUAUUUGCCACCCCUAAC
rnacentral:lncRNA from 1 species